CUUUUUCAAAUGUUCGUCAUAAAUUACGUGUCAGUUAAAAAAACCACUCAAUCGAAAAGAUCGAUCGAUAGAGAAGAAUAUUAAUAAAUUUAGAUCAAUUGAUCCGUAUACAAAACAAAUUGUAAAAUUACUGGUUAUUUGCUUUCUUUGAUAACAAUGAAGACAAUAAUUAUUCUUAGGAAAAUUAUCACAAUUAUAUUUGUUGUAAAAUUAGAAUCAACAAGAAUAUUUGCAUAGUCUAGAAUAAUGAAAUUGUAAACCUGAAGAGAUUACUGUUAAUAUUUGUGAAAUUCCGCAGAGUUAUUUAGUAGAUUAAUUAAUUAAAAAAUCCAAAAAAUAUUGCAAAAUAAACUUUCCGCAUACUUAUAUUGUAAGCUUUUCAUGUUAUGGAUAUAUUAUUUGUUUCGAUAAUUAUCUUGUGUAUCAGGUGUAUAUUAUCAAUAGUGAAAUAAAUAUUUAUAAAAGACA